rnacentral:rRNA from 1 species
GUAGGUGGCAAGCGUUGUCCGGAAUUAUUGGGCGUAAAGCGCGCGCAGGUGGGUUCUUUAAGUCUGAUGUGAAAGCCCCCGGGCUCAACCGGGGAGGGUCAUUGGAAACUGGGGAACUUGAGUGCAGGAGAGGAAAGUGGAAUUCCACGUGUAGCGGUGAAAUGCGUAGAUAUGUGGAGGAACACCAGUAGCGAAGGCGACUUUCUGGCCUGUAACUGACACUGAGGCGCGAAAGCGUGGGGAGCAAACAGGAUUAGAUACCCUGGUAGUCCACGCCGUAAACGAUGAGUGCUAAGUGUUGGGGGGUUUCCGCCCCUCAGUGCUGCAGCUAACGCAUUAAGCACUCCGCCUGGGGAGUACGGUCGCAAGACUG